UUGACUCCUUAGUCCUUGAUGUAGGCUAGUCUCUGUCAGGCUAUGGUUAGUGGGACUGGGACCAAGUGCUGGUUCUGAGCCUCAGUGUCAUGUGCUUCCGUCCUCUCCCUCUGAAGCAGGCUAAGCUACGACAGACAAACAAGCCCAGGCUUAGCUUGGAGGACGAGAGACUACGGAAAGCAAAUCACCCAAGCAUGCCUGGAAGCUGUGAGAUCAAGGAUUCUGGAUGUGUUUGAUGAGGAGUUAGGGAACCAGGGAUUCUCCGUGUACUGAGGAGUUCUUGUAUUGAUUGUUGACCUCUGACACAUGCGUGUGGGGGUUCACAUGCAUGAGAAGAGAGAGCAAGCCCUGGUAUGAACACACUUUGCUAUCUACUCCACCUACGCCAUUGUUAGCUCUCCAUUAGCCCCAAAAUGUCCCAAGGUGUGUGCUGCUGGCACCUAGAGGACCAGGUGAGUGUGAGUGGGUACAGAUUCAGCCCAGCUUCCGUGAGAGCAAUUCAGCACUGCAGGUCAGUCUCUGAAAGUUGAAGUGCCAGCAUGAAGCCAACAAUAUCCAUCCGUUCAUCCAUCC